rnacentral:lncRNA from 1 species
CUGGUACUAGCUCCAUUAAUAGUUAAAAAAAAGAGACAAAUUUAUAACUAAAUCUAAAAGAUACUAUUUGGUAGUAGUAAUUUUACAGCAUAAGAAAUAACAAAGUUCAGACGCUACUAGCUUCUGAUCAUACGUACAAAAAAAAGAGUAAUAAAAAGAGAUGCUAGUGCGACGUCUAAAAUUAAAAUAUAUACAUAUAUAGUACAACAUGCCAUUUCUAACUAAUUUGUGUACAUAAAUACGAUACUCUAGUACUAAUUAAGGACUAAAUAGAUUGAUCGACAGCCUAAUAUUAAUAUGCUUAAGCCAUACGUAAUGGUUUUCCCAAUGGAAAAUCAAUCAUUAAUUAGCGCGCUGCAAGCCACCACCAUAGAAUCUGGCAGCCUGGUAGGGGUUGACAACCACCGCGGCCGUGGUGGCAGAAACCACCGGAGCCACCUGAAAAACAUGGGAGCAUUGUGGUUGAUACCGAUACUUACACAAUGGUUGAUGUUGUGGAGGAGAAGCACAAUAAUUAGUACCACUCCUUGAUCCCUUUCUUCCAUACGAUUCUUCCACCAUAUCAAAGCUUCCUGAUGAACCAAUCUUAUGUGCCAUAUUUAUAGUAUAGUAGUACUUCUUGAAACUAUGUAACGUACACCUACUUACAAAGCUUAGUGAGUAGUAUUUUGCUUCUUGAAUAACUAUAGUGUAGU